rnacentral:rRNA from 1 species
UAGGGAAUAUUGGGCAAUGGGCGGGAGCCUGACCCAGCCAUGCCGCGUGCAGGAAGAAGGCGUUAUGCGUUGUAAACUGCUUUUAUACGGGAAGAAAAGGCCCAUGCGUGGGACAUUGCCGGUACCGUAUGAAUAAGCACCGGCUAACUCCGUGCCAGCAGCCGCGGUAAUACGGAGGGUGCAAGCGUUGUCCGGAUUUAUUGGGUUUAAAGGGUGCGUAGGCGGCCGAUUAAGUCAGCGGUGAAAGUCUGUGGCUCAACCAUAGAAGCGCCGUUGAUACUGGUUGGCUUGAGUGCCGUAUGGGUACAUGGAAUUGAUGGUGUAGCGGUGAAAUGCAUAGAUACCAUCAGGAACACCGAUAGCGUAGGCAUUGUACUGUGCGGCAACUGACGCUGAGGCACGAAAGCAUGGGUAGCGAACAGGAUUAGAUACCCUGGUAGUCCAUGCCGUAAACGAUGAUCACUCGCUGUUAUGUCCUUGAGGCGUAGCGGCCAAGCGAAAGCGUUAAGUGAUCCACCUGGGGAGUACGCCGGCAACGGUG